CUCCGAGAUCACAACCGAGCGCCGCGCGGCUAAACCGUUCUUCAUGGAGCAGUUUCACUCGAGGUGUUCUGUACAAAUAACUCGUUUAAAAUCAUUUUUAACCAUAAAAUGGAUAAUUACAGCACUAAACGUGAUUUUUUUUUCAGCACGGGCUUGUUUCCGUGCCUGCGUUUACUGGAGAGUUUAAUCAGCAUCGAAAGCCUUUCGUAAAAGCUCAGACUCGUUAUGAACGAUCAUCUGACGAAUACUCAGACUCGUUUUUAAAAACUACGAUUUAUUAUAAAUAGGGCUCAAACACUCAGACUGGUUAUGAAACAUCUGACUGGUUAUUAAACCUCAGAUCCGCUAUGAAUAUCGUCUCCGUGAUGACUCAGAAUCAUUAUAAACACCAGGCCACUUGACAAAGACUCGGACUCGUGAAUACACAGAGGCUUUAUGAAGACUUGGAGGCAUUGUGAAGGCUCGGAGUCGUUAUAAACAUUAGACUACAUGAUAGAAACCCAGCUAUUAUCAAGACUCAGACUGAGGACUAAGACUAUGACGAUUAAGACUUAUUAUAACGACUAAGAUUCAUUAUAAAGAAAAGGCCAGAUCAGAAGAAAGAGACUCAUUAUUUAGACACGGCUUCGUUAAAGAAUAAAUCUCAUUAUGAAGACUCACACUAAUUGUGAAGAGAAGUCCAUGUGACUCAUUAACAUUAAUCCAUAUUAUAAAAAUUCAUGCUCAUUAUGAAGACUAGGAUCCAUCACACCAGGCCAUAUAAUAAAAACAAACUCGGACUCGUAUGAAGACUCGGACUCGUUAUGAAGACUCGAUAUUCG
ensembl:lncRNA